rnacentral:rRNA from 1 species
UACGUAGGGUGCAAGCGUUGUCCGGAAUUAUUGGGCGUAAAGGGCUCGUAGGCGGUUUGUCGCGUCGGGAGUGAAAACUCAGGGCUUAACCCUGAGCCUGCUUCCGAUACGGGCAGACUAGAGGUAUGCAGGGGAGAACGGAAUUCCUGGUGUAGCGGUGAAAUGCGCAGAUAUCAGGAGGAACACCAAUAGCGAAGGCAGCUCGCUGGGACGUUACUGACACUGAGGCGCGAAAGCGUGGGGAGCGAACAGG